GAUGAACGCUGGCGGCGUGCCUAACACAUGCAAGUCGAGCGAGAUAAAUGUGAGUGGAGACUUCGGUCAAAGCAAUCAUUUUGAAAGCGGCGGACGGGUGAGUAACGCGUGAGCAAUCUGCCCCAUACAAAGGGAUACCCACUGGAAACGGUGAUUCAUACCUUAUAAGACAACGAAGUCGCCUGGCUUAGUGGCCAAAGAUUUAUCGGUAUGGGACGAGCUCGCGUCUGAUUAGCUAGUUGGUGAGGUAAUGGCUCACCAAGGCGACGAUCAGUAGCCGACCUGAGAGGGUGAACGGCCACACUGGAACUGAGACACGGUCCAGACUCCUACGGGAGGCAGCAGUGGGGAGUAUUGCACAAUGGGCGCAAGCCUGAUGCAGCAACGCCGCGUGAAUGAUGAAGGCCUUCGGGUCGUAAAGUUCUGUCCUAAGGGAAGAAUACAGUGACGGUACCUUAGGAGGAAGCCCCGGCUAACUACGUGCCAGCAGCCGCGGUAA
rnacentral:rRNA from 1 species